AAGGGCGCAAUGGCAACCCCCGGUCGGUACAGGUGGGGCACGUCGCGCGUCAGUCGAUCACCGUGAAUACGACCGAGAUCGGAAAGAUCGCGGCGGCCAGCCGCGGCAUCGUCCAGUUCGAGGCCGAGGGGCACCCGGUGAAAUACGACGCCCCGCAGUAUUUCGUCUCGAAUCUCGAGGACGUGAAGAUGUCGCUGAUCGGC
rnacentral:misc_RNA from 1 species